rnacentral:rRNA from 1 species
UGGGGAAUUUUGGACAAUGGGCGAAAGCCUGAUCCAGCAAUGCCGCGUGUGUGAAGAAGGCCUUCGGGUUGUAAAGCACUUUUGUCCGGAAAGAAAUCCCUGGCUCUAAUACAGUCGGGGGAUGACGGUACCGGAAGAAUAAGCACCGGCUAACUACGUGCCAGCAGCCGCGGUAAUACGUACGGCAAGCGUUAAUCGGAAUUACUGGGCGUAAAGCGUGCGCAGGCGGUUUGCUAAGACCGAUGUGAAAUCCCCGGGCUCAACCUGGGAACUGCAUUGGUGACUGGCAGGCUAGAGUAUGGCAGAGGGGGGUAGAAUUCCGACGUGUAGCAGUGAAAUGCGUAGAGAUGUGGAGGAAUACCGAUGGCGAAGGCAGCCCCUGGGCCAAUACUGACGCUCAUGCACGAAAGCCGUGGGGAGCAAACAGGAUUAGAUACCCUGGUAGUCCACGCCCUAAACGAUGUCAACUAGUUGUUGGGGAUUCAUUUCCUUAGUAACGUAGCUAACGCGUGAAG